rnacentral:lncRNA from 1 species
ACAAAUAACGAAAAAAGUAGUACCAAAAAAAGUAAUAUCAAACAAGAUAGUACCAAACAAGAUAGUACCAAACAAGAUAGUACCAAACAAGAUAGUACCAAUACAUGUACACGGUCUCGUAGUGAUAGUACCAGUACUAUUUUGAGUAAAAGUAGAAACAAUAGAUUAGGUGUUCGUACACGUAGUGCUAAUAUUCUCGGUAAUGUUAACUCGUGUAAUAGUCAUAAUAAUAAUAAUAAUAAUAAUAAUAAUAAUAAUAAUAAUAAUAAUAAAAAAAAUAAUAAAAAAAAAUUAUAUAUUUGAUAAAAAUAAACUUAUGCAAAUUUGUAAGGAAACACAUAAACAAGUAACUAGAAUGACAGAAAUUUUAUUAUUAGCUGCUGUAUUACCACACCCAUUACCUGUAUAUACCGAACAUGAAGAUAAACCUUCUGGCACUUUAAGAAAAAGAGAAAAAAGAAGUGAAAGUAAUACUAGUGCUACUGUUUCUGCUGCUACUUCUACAAAUACUAACAAUACAUACAAUGAAAACUCAAUGGAAAAAUUUGAAACUUCAGACGCUUGUAAAGAUGUUCGAAUACGAGUCAAAAAAAGAAUGAAACAAUUUUAUAUUAGCGAUAUGAUCAAUAAAAAUCUAAGUUGUACGACUUCGGACAUAUUCCGUGAUUAUGUAAGUUAAGAUGGGACAAAAAUAGGUUGUUGUCUAUACGUUAUAUAUGACCAUUACUUGUAUAUAUGACCAUUAUGUGUGUAUAUGACCAUUAUGUGUGUAUACCAUCAUACAAAAAGUAUGCGGACCAGUUUUUAUUGGCUUGCUUUUGCCAUAUGUGUAUAUCUCCCGUCAUGUACUAACAUGUACCAACGCGUU